rnacentral:lncRNA from 1 species
CACUCCAUGCUGAGCCACCAUGACCUGCCUGCCGCCGCCGGCCAUUCCUCUUCACCGCUGCAAUCCUGGCCACCCAUACCUUUCUCUUCCUUUAUCUCUUCCCUUCUCGUUUAAUCAGCUCCAUCUCUCGUCCUGCACAGGUCCAUAGCACAGCAGCAACGUGUGAGGGUACCCGGCCAUGAAGGAGGCCCUUGGAUUCAUGGCAUCGUCCGCCUGUAGGCGCCAUUAGAUCCAUGGAGGAAAAGGCUAGAUCCACUUCAGAGGCUUCGUCCCUGGCCUUUUCUCGUCGGCGGUGAGCUCCUCGAUCUCCCAGUGCCCCCCACCAAGCUCCUCACCAUGCCACAACAAGCAAGCACAAGGUAUAGCUCAUAUAUACUCUCCCCUUCCCUUCCUACUGUGCCAUCAAAAACACAAAUAAUCUAAUCAUGGUGUAACGACAGGCAAAUUUGAUUUUCCCUGUCAAGCUAGCCCUGUCGGUAAUUUUCUGUCGGUCCACUGACAGGGAAAUUGAUUUUGUAUUUUCCUAUCAGUAUUUUUAUUUUCCUAUCGGUUUCCUUAUCGACAGGGAAAAAACCGUUUCCAGUAGUGAAUAUAUGCGACAUCAAACACAUAGUCUACUGGUGAAACUGCCGCCCAUAUAUUCUUGGCAAAAAAAAAAUUCAUGGCAAGCACUUGUAUGGAAUGGCAUGCCUGCUUAAUUUCCUUUCGCUCUGCCACCUUUUGCAAUAUUCUUCAAAAUCUCAACCGGCAGUAUAUGCCUAUAAAAGUCCGGCUAAUGCUUUUGCAAUAUCAUCUUGACAAAACCAUAUAGCCUAAAAACCACCUUUUGCAAUAUCAUCUUGACAAAACCAUAUAGCCUAAAAGAGCGAGCCACCCCGGCUAAUGCUUUUCUCCUCUGUUGUACUCCUGUAUUGCUAAAUCAUCCAUAAUAUAUAUGGUCCAUAUUCCUAGGAGUAUCUAGGGCAAAGGAAAUUUUAACUAUACGCCAAAUGGAUUAGCAAAAGGACACUCAAAGAACAAAUGAUGAAUGGUUUCAUUUUGGUUAUUACAAAUGUAAAUAAGCAAUAGUGGAUACUUCCAUUCCAAUUUCUUAACAGAUAAUGGAAUUAUGUUAUUGGAGGGAAAUUAUUGGGGAUGAUUUGUGUUUAGUGUUUGUCUCUCCAGAUGACAUGGAGAAAGCUUAAUUAUGUAGACAAUGAUAGGCUUUUACUAUUGAACACACCCUAAUAGAUCUUCCUCCCAUUAAGGAAAAAAAAAACUCUUCCUCCCACCACGGUGGCGGAGAUAGAUUGGAAGAUUCGACAAUGCCCUGCCGCUGAUGGAUGCGUGUGAAUUCAAUGGUAAAUACUUCAGGUUAUUGCGAGCUGGGGAUGCAGUUGCAGCUGCCGUUGUCUCAGCAACCUUUGAUCUAUGGGUCAGAGAGACGUAACUUCCCUGUCCAAGAUCAAUCGGCCGGGUUCAGUUCCUCACUCGCGACUGAAGGGACAAUAUUGGACAUUCAUGACAAACACCAGCUGAACGAAAUUGCUGCAGGAAUCGAAGUGAAAUUGAUGUUGGAUGGAGGUUUAGCAACAGCUAAUGGUGAAGCUUUCUGUGAUUGAGCAUUUAGUUCUUUGAGAACCAUUUGGUGCUUCUUUCUUACAGCAAGUGUAACAAUUGUAAUAAUGAAUAGCCACAAACAUCUAUUGUUGCAGAAGCUGGGAC